rnacentral:rRNA from 1 species
CCUACGGGACGCAGCAGUAGGGAAUUUUCGUCAAUGGGCGCAAGCCUGAACGAGCGAUGCCGCGUGAGUGAAGAAGUAUUUCGGUAUGUAAAGCUCUAUCAGCAGGGAAGAAGUUGACGGUACCUGAGUAAGAAGCCCCGGCUAACUACGUGCCAGCAGCCGCGGUAAUACGUAGGGGGCAAGCGUUAUCCGGAUUUACUGGGUGUAAAGGGAGCGUAGACGGCAGUGCAAGUCUGAAGUGAAAGCCCCGGGCUUAACCCGGGAAUUGCUUUGGAAACUGUACGGCUGGAGUGCUGGAGAGGUAA